AAAAGGUGGCUAUGCUACCGCUUUUGGAUGGGCCCGCGGCGCAUUAGCUAGUUGGUGGGGUAAAGGCUUACCAAGGCAAUGAUGCGUAGCCGAACUGAGAGGUUGAUCGGCCACAUUGGGACUGAGACACGGCCCAAACUCCUACGGGAGGCAGCAGUAGGGAAUCUUCCACAAUGGGCGAAAGCCUGAUGGAGCAACGCCGCGUGGGUGAAGAAGGUCUUCGGAUCGUAAAACCCUGUUGUUAGAGAAGAAAGUGCGUGAGAGUAACUGUUCACGUUUCGACGGUAUCUAACCAGAAAGCCACGGCUAACUACGUGCCAGCAGCCGCGGUAAUACGUAGGUGGCAAGCGUUAUCCGGAUUUAUUGGGCGUAAAGGGAACGCAGGCGGUCUUUUAAGUCUGAUGUGAAAGCCUUCGGCUUAACCGGAGUAGUGCAUUGGAAACUGGGAGACUUGAGUGCAGAAGAGGAGAGUGGAACUCCAUGUGUAGCGGUGAAAUGCGUAGAUAUAUGGAAGAACACCAGUGGCGAAAGCGGCUCUCUGGUCUGUAACUGACGCUGAGGUUCGAAAGCGUGGGUAGCAAACAGGAUUAGAUACCCUGGUAGUCCACGCCGUAAACGAUGAAU
rnacentral:rRNA from 1 species